rnacentral:rRNA from 1 species
CCUACGGGAGGCAGCAGUGGGGAAUCUUGCGCAAUGGGGGAAACCCUGACGCAGCCAUGCCGCGUGAAUGAUGAAGGUCUUAGGAUUGUAAAAUUCUUUCAGCGGGGACGCGGUACCCGCAGAAGAAGCUCCGGCUAACUUCGUGCCAGCAGCCGCGGUAAUACGAAGGGGGCUAGCGUUGCUCGGAAUUACUGGGCGUAAAGGGCGCGUAGGCGGACAGUUAAGUCAGAGGUGAAAGCCCAGGGCUCAACCCUGGAAUUGCCUUUGAUACUGGCUGUCUUGAGUAUGGGAGAGGUAAGCGGAACUCCGAGUGUAGAGGUGAAAUUCGUAGAUAUUCGGAAGAACACCAGUGGCGAAGGCGGCUUACUGGCCAUACUGACGCUGAGGCGCGAAAGCGUGGGGAGCAAACAGGAUUAGAUACCCUUGUAGUC